rfam:Aedes albopictus isolate Foshan contig30905, whole genome shotgun sequence.
UGCCCAGCAGCUCCUGUCCCUACCUCCGCGUGGUUCCGGCUGGAAAUUAUGAGCUACCUUAGGGAAGAUCGGGUAACCAACCCCGAUGGGAACUUUGAUCGUAGGCUGACAAGGAAGG